rnacentral:rRNA from 1 species
UACGAAGGGGGCUAGCGUUGCUCGGAAUCACUGGGCGUAAAGGGUGCGUAGGCGGGUCUUUAAGUCAGGGGUGAAAUCCUGGAGCUCAACUCCAGAACUGCCUUUGAUACUGAGGAUCUUGAGUACGGGAGAGGUGAGUGGAACUGCGAGUGUAGAGGUGAAAUUCGUAGAUAUUCGCAAGAACACCGGUGGCGAAGGCGGCGACCUG